UACGUAGGGGGCUAGCGUUGUCCGGAUUUAUUGGGCGUAAAGAGCGCGCAGGCGGUCGUCCAAGUCGCGUGUGAAAGCCCCCCGGCUCAACUGGGGAGGGUCACGCGAUACUGGUCGACUCGAAGGCAGGAGAGGGUAGUGGAAUUUCCGGUGUAGCGGUGAAAUGCGUAGAUAUCGGAAGGAACAUCAGUGGCGAAAAGCGACUUCCUGGACCAGUACCGACGUUUCAGGCACGAAAGCGUGGGGAGCAAACAGG
rnacentral:rRNA from 1 species